rnacentral:rRNA from 1 species
CACGUAGGGGGCGAGCGUUGUCCGGAUUUAUUGGGCGUAAAGGGCGUGUAGGCGGCCAACUAAGUCCGACGUGAAAUCCCCAGGCUUAACCUGGGAACUGCGUCGGAUACUGGAUGGCUUGAAUCCGGGAGAGGGAUGCGGAAUUCCAGGUGUAGCGGUGAAAUGCGUAGAUAUCUGGAGGAACACCGGUGGCGAAGGCGGCAUCCUGGACCGGCAUUGACGCUAAAGCGCGAAAGCCAGGGGAGCAAACGGG